AGUGGCAGACGGGUGAGUAACAUGUAGGUAUCUACCCUUUGGCCUGGAAUAACACGAGGAAACUUGUGCUAAUACCGGAUAAGUCUUUACGGAGAAAGCUUUAUGCACCAUUGGAUGAGCCUGCACUUGAUUAGCUUGUUGGUAGGGUAAUGGCCUACCAAGACUGUGAUCAAUAGCUGAUUUGAGAGGAUGAUCAGCCACAUUGGGACUGAGACACGGCCCAAACUCCUACGGGAGGCAGCAGUGGGGAAUCUUGCACAAUGGAGGAAACUCUGAUGCAGCGAUGCCGCGUGAGUGAAGAAGGCCUUUGGGUUGUAAAGCUCUUUCGUCGGGGAAGAAAAUGACUGUACCCGAAUAAGAAGGUCCGGCUAACUUCGUGCCAGCAGCCGCGGUAAUACGAAGGGACCUAGCGUAGUUCGGAAUUACUGGGCUUAAAGAGUUCGUAGGUGGUUGAAAAAGUUGGUGGUGAAAUCCCAGAGCUUAACUCUGGAACUGCCAUCAAAACUUUUCAGCUAGAGUUUGAUAGAGGAAAGCAGAAUUUCUAGUGUAGAGGUGAAAUUCGUAGAUAUUAGAAAGAAUACCAAUUGCGAAGGCAGCUUUCUGGAUCAUUACUGACACUGAGGAACGAAAGCAUGGGUAGCGAAGAGGAUUAGAUACCCUCGUAGUCCAUGCCGUAAACGAUGUGUGUUAGACGUUGGAAAUUUAUUUUCAGUGUCGCAGCGAAAGCGAUAAACACACCGCCUGGGGAGUAC
rnacentral:rRNA from 1 species